rnacentral:rRNA from 1 species
CGGAACGGGUGAGUAACGCGUGAGGAACCUGCCUCAAAGAGGGGGACAACAGUUGGAAACGACUGCUAAUACCGCAUAAGCCCACGGCUCGGCAUCGAGCAGAGGGAAAAGGAGCAAUCCGCUUUGAGGUGGCCUCGCGUCCGAUUAGCUGGUUGGUGAGGUAACGGCCCACCAAGGCGACGAUCGGUAGCCGGACUGAGAGGUUGAACGGCCACAUUGGGACUGAGACACGGCCCAG